AGGGGAAUAGUUUAAGGGUAGAAUAGCGGUCGCCAAAACCGUUGAUGGGAGUUCGAAUCUCUCUUCCCCUG
rnacentral:tRNA from 1 species